rnacentral:rRNA from 1 species
UAGGGAAUCUUCGGCAAUGGGGGGAACCCUGACCGAGCAACGCCGCGUGAGUGAAGAAGGUUUUCGGAUCGUAAAGCUCUGUUGUUAAGGAAGAACGAGUGUGAGAAUGGAAAGUUCAUGCUGUGACGGUACUUAACCAGAAAGGGACGGCUAACUACGUGCCAGCAGCCGCGGUAAUACGUAGGUCCCGAGCGUUGUCCGGAUUUAUUGGGCGUAAAGCGAGCGCAGGCGGUUAGAAAUGUCUGAAGUGAAAGGCAGUGGCUCAACCAUUGUAGGCUUUGGAAACUGUUUAACUUGAGUGCAGAAGGGGAGGGUGGAAUUCCCUGUGUAGCGGUGAAAUGCGUAGAUAUAUGGAGGAACACCGGUGGCGAAAGCGGCUCUCUGGUCUGUAACUGACGCUGAGGCUCGAAAGCGUGGGGAGCGAACAGG